rnacentral:rRNA from 1 species
CCGGGUGGGGGAGGCCUAAACAUGCAGUCGAGCGGUAACAGGAAGGAAGCUUGCUUUCUUUGCUGACGAGCGGCGGACGGGUGAGUAAUGCCUGGGAAAUUGCCCUGAUGUGGGGGAUAACCAUUGGAAACGAUGGCUAAUACCGCAUGAUGCCCUUGUUUAUAAUGAACAGGGCCCAAAGAGGGGGACCGUCGGGCCUCUCGCGGCGGGAUAUGCCCAGGUGGGAUUAGCUGGUUGGUGAGGUAAUGGCUCACCAAGGCGACGAUCCCUAGCUGGUCUGAGAGGAUGAUCGACCACACUGGAACUGACACACGGUCCACACUCCUACGGGAGGCAGCAGUGGGGAAUAUUGCACGAUGGGCGCAAGCCUGAUGCAGCCAUGCCGCGUGUAUGAAGAAGGCCUUCUGGUUGUAAAGUACUUUCAGUCUUGAGGAAGGGGGUAUCGUUAAUAGCGGUAUUCUUUGACGUUAGCGACAGAAGCAGCACCGGCUAACUCCGUGCCAGCAACCGCGGUAAUACGGAGGGUGCGAGCGGUAAUCGGAAUUACUGCGCGUAAAGCGCAUGCACGUGUUUUGUUAAGUCAGAUGUGAAAGCCCGAGGCUCAACCUCGGAGUUGCAUUUGAAACUGGCAGGCUAGAGUACUGUAGAGGGGUGGUAGAAUUUACAUGUGUAGCGAUGAAAUGCGAUAGAGAUCUGGAGGGAAGUACCCGGUGGCGACAGCGGCUCCCCUGGUACAGAAUACUGACACUCAGGAUGCGAACGCGUGUAGAACAAACUAGGUAUUACAUACCUCUGAAUAGAUCCAUCUACUGUAAACGAAUGGUCUACUUUGAGGCUGUGCUCUUUGAGCUGAUGGCCGUUUCAGUAGCUUACGGCUGUAGAUAUAACCCGCUCCUUGUAGA